rnacentral:rRNA from 1 species
GACGAACGCUGGCGGCGUGCCUAAUACAUGCAAGUAGAACGCCGAAGAGAGGAGCUUGCUCUUCUUGGAUGAGUUGCGAACGGGUGAGUAACGCGUAGGUAACCUGCCUUGUAGCGGGGGAUAACUAUUGGAAACGAUAGCUAAUACCGCAUAACAAUGGAUGACACAUGUCAUUUAUUUGAAAGGGGCAAUUGCUCCACUACAAGAUGGACCUGCGUUGUAUUAGCUAGUAGGUGAGGUAAUGGCUCACCUAGGCGACGAUACAUAGCCGACCUGAGAGGGUGAUCGGCCACACUGGGACUGAGACACGGCCCAGACUCCUACGGGAGGCAGCAGUAGGGAAUCUUCGGCAAUGGGGGCAACCCUGACCGAGCAACGCCGCGUGAGUGAAGAAGGUUUUCGGAUCGUAAAGCUCUGUUGUAAGUCAAGAACGGGUGUGAGAGUGGAAAGUUCACACUGUGACGGUAGCUUACCAGAAAGGGACGGCUAACUACGU